rnacentral:rRNA from 1 species
ACUGGGACCCAGACACGGCCCAGACUCCUACGGGAGGCAGCAGUGAGGAAUUUUCCGCAAUGGGCGAAAGCCUGACGGAGCCCCACCGCGUGAGGGAAGAAGGCCCUUGGGUUGUAAACCUCUUUUUUCAGGAAAGAAGAACUGACGGUACCUGAGGAAUAAGCCUCGGCUAACUCCGGGCCAGCAGCCGGGGUAAUACGGAGGAGGGAAGCGUUAUUCGGAAUUAUUGGGGGUAAAGCGGCCGCAGGGAGCGACUAUAAGUCUGCUGUCAAAGACCGCAGCUCACCUGCGGAAAGGCAGGGGAAACUGUCAGACUAGAGUGCGGGAGGGGUAGGGGGAAUUCCCAGUGUAGCGGUGAAAUGCGCAUAUAUUGGGGAGAACACCGGUGGCGAAAGCGCCCUACUAGACCGCAACUGACACUCAGGGACGAAAGCCAGGG